rnacentral:ncRNA from 1 species
AACGCUGGAAAGAGGCCGUCAGCCUCGCCGAAGGAGCAAGAUUCCCUGACCGGAUGUCAGGAUCGGAAUCUCUCAGGCACCGAGACAGCGGGGG